rnacentral:rRNA from 1 species
AAGUCGGACGGACACCUUCGGGUGUCAGUGGCGGACGGGUGAGUAACGCGUAGGAAUCUACCCCUAGGAGGGGGAUAACAGCUGGAAACGGCUGCUAAUACCCCAUACAGGCGCGAGCUGAAAGGAGCAAUCCGCCUAGGGAUGGGCCUGCGUCGGAUUAGCUAGUUGGUGGGGUAAUGGCCUACCAAGGCGACGAUCCGUAGCGGGUCUGAGAGGAUGGCCCGCCACACUGGGACUGAGACACGGCUCAGACUCCUACGGGAGGCAGCAGUGGGGAAUUUUCCGCAAUGGGCGAAAGCCUGACGGAGCAAUACCGCGUGAGGGAGGAAGGCCUUCGGGUUGUAAACCUCUUUUCUGGGGGACGAA